AGUCUGGUUUCUUUCUGGGUGAUUACAUACCUGAACACUUUAAGGACACCAACCAGCGCCAUUCUUUUUUUUAUCCCUUUUGUAGUCCAUUGUCCUAUGGAACAAUGGCAAAGAAGGGAUUCUGUUGAAAGAAAGGUUGGACUUAAACCUUUUAAACUUAAUUCUUUAUGUUUUUUUUUUCCUAGUAACAUGACUUAAUGUUUCUGAAUGAUGAAUUAUGGUAUUUAGUAUUACUGUGGAGUAUACAGCCCUCUUGACUUCAUAAUCUGGUGAAGAAAGCUUGUCUCAUAUAAUAUAGAUCAUGUUGAGGACAUUUCUAGGUCCUUUCUUGAGGACAAUGAGUAACAUUGCCACAUAACCACUUGAAGUGUAGCUAAAGGUUGUUGAUAUUACCUCAGUGACCAGAGCCACUAUCAAUGUCCUGGUCUGCCUAAAAAUGACAUGCAUAAAAUGUGAUGAUUUAUGAGAAUUCUAUAGUCAGGAAAAAAUCCAGACUCCCUAUAGGCAAGAUCAUAUUGUGUCAUCCAUCCACUUUUACCUAGUCCUCAACUCUGAUAAUAUAGCUGACAAAAUGGUAAGUGGGUAUGUGGUUAUGAACAAAGAUUCCCCUUGGCUUAUCUCUAUGAAAUAGGUUGUUUCUGUACCCAUGACCAUUUAAUAUUUCUUUUGUUGAGUGAUGCAUAUUUUUUGGUUAUUCUAAUAGUUAAUUUUUUUUUUAAAUUUAUGCAGUUAGCUAGGAAUUCUCUAUACAGUGUUGAGAGUUCAAAAAUCCCUAGCCAUUUGGUUAGCAUUUUGAUUAAAAAAGACUUCUUAUUGUCAUUAUAAAAAUGGCAGGAGAGGUAGAUCAUUGCUAACUCAACUUGAAUCCUCUAGCAGUGUAUAUGGAAAAGGCAUUUGUUUUAAUUCUAUAAAUUGGUUUUUAUUAAAAAUCUGCUUUGUGCAAACCACUAUUUUGAGUGUUGAGAGGGAUGCAAAGAUAUGAGGGAAUGUCUUAACCAGCACAUUUUUAGCUGGCAUUCACCAAUAACUAUAUACCAGCAAACAAUUGAUUUGUACCAGCAAAGUUGGUGAGUCACAUAUUUGCCAAUUUGGGCCUCUAUACUAAGACUAAAUAUUUUAGGAGGAGAAAUUCAGCUGAUCGUCUAUUUUGAUUACAUAUGGCAUAUGACUUUAGGUUUGAAAAUUCCAAUUCAGCUUGGACAAGGUACCUCCCUUGACCUUAUUAUUGAAAAGUUUUCUUUUUCACACAUCUGCAUGACCACCGAGUCCAUUCAGCAAUGAACAGACAUUAGUUGAUAGUCAUAUAUGAUUUCAUUGAUGUGAUAAUGAAUUGUGUAUUUGGUAUUUUGGGUUUUAGGUUGG
rnacentral:lncRNA from 1 species